rnacentral:rRNA from 1 species
AGAGUUUGAUCCUGGCUCAGAACGAACGCUGGCGGCGGGCCUAACACAUGCAAGUCGAGCGCGCCUUCGGGUGAGCGGCGGACGGGUUAGUAACGCGUGGGAACGUGCCCUUCUCUACGGAAUAGCCUCUGGAAACGGAGAGUAAUACCGUAUACGCCCUUUGGGGGAAAGAUUUAUCGGAGAAGGAUCGGCCCGCGUUAGAUUAGAUAGUUGGUGGGGUAACGGCCUACCAAGCCUACGAUCUAUAGCUGGUUUUAGAGGAUGAUCAGCAACACUGGGACUGAGACACGGCCCAGACUCCUACGGGAGGCAGCAGUGGGGAAUCUUAGACAAUGGGGGCAACCCUGAUCUAGCCAUGCCGCGUGAGUGAUGAAGGCCUUAGGGUCGUAAAGCUCUUUCGCCUGUGAUGAUAAUGACAGUAGCAGGUAAAGAAACCCCGGCUAACUCCGUGCCAGCAGCCGCGGUAAUACGGAGGGGGUUAGCGUUGUUCGGAAUUACUGGGCGUAAAGCGCGCGUAGGCGGAUUAGAAAGUUGGGGGUGAAAUCCCGGGGCUCAACCUCGGAACUGCCUCCAAAACUGCUAGUCUAGAGUUCGAGAGAGGUGAGUGGAAUUCCGAGUGUAGAGGUGAAAUUCGUAGAUAUUCGGAGGAACACCAGUGGCGAAGGCGGCUCACUGGCUCGAUACUGACGCUGAGGUGCGAAAGUGUGGGGAGCAAACAGGAUUAGAUACCCUGGUAGUCCACACCGUAAACGAUGAAUGCCAGUCGUCGGGUAGUAUACUAUUCGGUGACACACCUAACGGAUUAAGCAUUCC